GGGAACGUACCCGUGUUUAUUGUUAUAGCCCAGAACUUCCUUUUCCUGUCCCAUCUAAAUCACAGGUAUCUACUGUCAGAGUGGCUGUGCAGGACUAACUUCCUCAUGUCCAUGAUGAGUUAAAAAGAAAUGUGGCGCACUAGGACCCUUGAGCCUUGCCUGAAAGUGAAAUAUAGCAGUUCAACAUGGGUGCCAACAUCUAACCAGCCCUCAGAUGGAUUUACCAUGAAGGAGAAGCACGACCAUGGCAACCCAGGAUUACACAGUGCUCUACAAUUUGCAAAGGCCCUUUGAAGACCAUUUUCAACAGGCUCCAUGAGGAGACAGAAACCAAAGGAAACCACCACCCGUUCGGAGAUGGAAGCAGCAGAUCUCAGUUGCUAAGCGCCCCAUCCCUGGGCUUGAGGCCUUCAGAGGCCCACCCCCAGGCCCAGGCUGGCCUCAGGACGGGCUCCCAGUGCUACUUCAGGCACCCUCGGAUGGGACCUCAGGUUAACGCUAGCAGAUGGUGGGAACCCAUCUGAGAGAUGAAGAACCUGAGGUCCAGAUGGGCUCUUGAGCAAGUGUUCUUUCCAGGCCGCCCUUCUCUUUCCUUCCUGCGUGUCCAGCCACCAAUGCAAACAGCCAGCCUGGCCUCUGACAUC